rnacentral:rRNA from 1 species
CGGUUGAUCCUGCCGGACCCCACUGCUAUCGAGGUGGGACUAAGCCAUGCUAGUUGAGCGCACAGAACUAUGUCUGUGAGCGGCACACUGCUCAGUAACACGUAGCUAACCUACCCUUAGGACGUGGACAACCCCGAGAAAUUGGGGCUAAUCCGCGAUAGAUGUAUUGUCCUGGAAUGGUAUUACGUCUAAAGGUAUCCCAUACAUGUUUGGUAUAUGCCUAAGGAUGGGGCUGCGGCCGAUCAGGCUGUUGGUGAGGUAAUGGCUCACCAAACCUUUGACCGGUACGGGCCAUGAGAGUGGUAGCCCGGAGAUGGACACUGAGACAAGGGUCCAGGCCCUACGGGGCGCAGCAGGCGCGAAACCUCCUCAAUGCACUUACGUGCGAAGGGGCUACCUCGAGUGCCAUCUGAUGAAGGUGGCUUUUCCUAGGUCUAAAAAGCCUUGGGAAUAAGAGGGGGGCAAGACUGGUGUCAGCCGCCGCGGUAACACCAGCCCCUCGAGUGGUGGGGAUGAUUAUUGGGCCUAAAGCGUCCGUAGCCUGCCGUGUAAGUUUCCCGUUAAAUCCAGCGUCUUAAGCGUUGGACCGCGGGAAAUACUGUACGGCUAGAGAGUGUGAGAGGUCAGCGGUAUUCUGGGGGUAGGGGCGAAAUCCUUUGAUCC